CAUGGAGCUGGCCUCCCAAGUGGCCCCAGAGAGCAGCAGGGGACACACACGGGGUGGGCUUCUGAGGCCCAAGGGAAGGGGAGACAGGAGGGACCAGGCACAGAAACCCACCUCUCCCCAUGGCCAGCUCUGAGGUGCAGCCUCUCUCGAAAACUUGAUGGGAGUGGGCGGGGGGGGGGGUUGUCUCGUCCUCUGGGCGUCCGGCUGGAUGGACUCCCUGCAGAAAGUCCUCAGGGUGGCCCGUGGUCACACGCUGCCCCCCCACCUUGUCCCCCAGAGUUCCUUGGCUGAGUUUCUGGUCCCUGCCCAUGAGGUUUGUAACCCUUGCCUCAGGCUCUGCCUUCUGGGGACCCGGGCUAAGACAGGGACUGAGGCCCCAGGAAGUGGCUGGACUGGCAUGGGAGACACUGGCUGAGUCUGUGGUCACUGCUCCGUCACCGCCCCUGUUGGGGAGCGAGGAGCGAGGGAGGGAGUGGACGUGACCUUCAGGAAUCCCACCGCGAUGUUCUUGGGUCCUGGGCAGGAAUUUACACCCCGCUGCGGCCCCAGGGCCUGACUGCAGGGUGGCCGGGACGCCAGAGCUGGGACUGGCAAGACCCAAGCAGUCUGUGUAGACCACUCCCGGGGCCAGGAGGGAAGUCAGGGGAGCCCCCCCUGUGGCCGCCCAGCGGUUAGAAGAGAAAACGGAUCCAGGACUAUUGGAGCCACCAAGUGGUUAAUUGGCUUUGCCUCCAUCAGUGCCAUGAAUAUUCAUGAGGCGCGCUGUCCUCAUCAGGCCGGGUCUGCAUCCAGCGCCCCCCGCGCCGAGCCUGCUAUACCCCGUCUAUACCCGGUCGGCGCUGACAGCCGCCAGCCCGCACGCAGCCCUGAUUGGCCCGGCUGCUCUCCCAGAUGCCAUAGCAACCCUGGCUGGUUGCCUAGCGAUUCAUCCCUCUCUUCCUUUUUCCCUAAAGCCCGAGCCAGUAAUCCAUAGGCUGCGGUGGAAACGUCUUUGUGCCGUGGUGUGUGCACGUGUGUACCUGCGUUUGCACACAGAGUUGUGCAGCCAUCAUGUGCCCGUCAGUCUGAAACCUGGUGCCGUACCCACUGCUCCGCACCCCCUCCUCGGCCGGAGGCAGCCACCGAGCCACUUGUUGUCUUAGGAGUUGCUUACUCUGGACAGCUCGUGGAAGCAAAGCUGCAGCAUGCGACCUCUUACGUCUGCCUUCUUUCCCUCAGCAUGAUUUCCAGAUUCAUCCGUGUCGUAGCUCUGUCAGCGCGUUGUUCCUUUUAAUGGUUGAAUAAUAUUCCUUUGUACAGAUUUUAUUUCUUUACUCAUCGUGUGUUAGACAUUUGUGUUGCUUCUACUUUUUGGCCACUUUGAAUAAAGCUGCUAUGGACAUGUGUGUAUGAAUUUUCCUGUGGUUGCAUGUUUUCAUUUCUCUUGGACAUGCACCCAUGAGUGG
rnacentral:lncRNA from 1 species